CUUACAGCUCACCUGGCUUAAUUACCUGCAAGACUGAACCUCAUAAUACUAAAGCCAGGGCAGAGACACCAAGUACAAGAGUCAUCUAUUUCUCAGCAAGAAAAUACUAAUUUCUCCUCGUUAAAGAGAAUUUGUCCGAUCCAGGAUGUUUCACAAGAAAUGUGGUGCAAUCGCCAGCAGCACAGGGCCAUCACACUUUUUUGUUUCUUAAAUGAUCACUCUAAGCACCA